rnacentral:rRNA from 1 species
AUUGAACGCUGGCGGCAGGCCUAACACAUGCAAGUCGAGCGGUAGCACAGAGAGCUUGCUCUCGGGUGACGAGCGGCGGACGGGUGAGUAAUGUCUGGGAAACUGCCUGAUGGAGGGGGAUAGCUACUGGAAACGGUAGCUAAUACCGCAUAACGUCGCAAGACCAAAGUGGGGGACCUUCGGGCCUCAUGCCAUCAGAUGUGCCCAGAUGGGAUUAGCUAGUAGGUGGGGUAACGGCUCACCUAGGCGACGAUCCCUAGCUGGUCUGAGAGGAUGACAAGCCACACGGGAACUGAGACACGGUCCAGACUCCUACGGGAGGCAGCAGUGGGGAAGAUUGCACAAUGGGCGCAAGCCUGAUGCAGCCAUGCCGCGUGUGUGAAGAAGGCCUUCGGGUUGUAAAGCACUUUCAGCGGGGAGGAAGGCGGUGAGGUUAAUAACCUCAUCGAUUGACGUUACCCGCAGGAGAAGCACCGGCUAACUCCGUGCCAGCAGCCGCCGUAA